AACGAACGCUGGCGGCAUGCCUAACACAUGCAAGUCGAACGAGAUCUUCGGGUCUAGUGGCGCACGGGUGCGUAACGCGUGGGAAUCUGCCCUUUGGUUCGGAAUAACAGUUGGAAACGACUGCUAAUACCGGAUGAUGACGAAAGUCCAAAGAUUUAUCGCCAGAGGAUGAGCCCGCGUAGGAUUAGCUAGUUGGUGUGGUAAAGGCGCACCAAGGCGACGAUCCUUAGCUGGUCUGAGAGGAUGAUCAGCCACACUGGGACUGAGACACGGCCCAGACUCCUACGGGAGGCAGCAGUGGGGAAUAUUGGACAAUGGGCGAAAGCCUGAUCCAGCAAUGCCGCGUGAGUGGUGAAGGCCUCAGGGUUGUAAAGCUCUUUUACCCGGGAUGAUAAUGACAGUACCGGGAGAAUAAGCUCCGGCUAACUCCGUGCCAGCCGCCGCGGUAA
rnacentral:rRNA from 1 species